rnacentral:lncRNA from 1 species
UGUGCCACCACCAAGCCAUGAAUUUGGGCUUGAAUGAAAUGUGAGUAGAUAGAUAUGUUGCACUUCUGACUUCUGAUCAAGUGAUUGAUCGGCCAAGCAAGGAACCUCCUCUUGACCUAGGUUUUUUCACUUCCUCGGGCUCGAGGAUGGUUAAGCUUCGUAUGGAUGUUUUUGUGAUUUUUAGGUUUUUAAGUGAAAAAACGUGCGAUUAAAUUAAAUGUGUGUUU